CGAGUUUCAGAAUUUGAGUUGAAUUACCGAAGUAAAUGAACUUUUUUCAUGACAUUCUAAUUUAUUGAGAUGCACCUGUAUCAUACACUGAAAAAAAAAUCUAGUAUAGAAACAAUUUUCACUUAGAAAUUGCUAGUAAAUUUCAAAAUUAAUUACAAACAAACAGACAUACUGAUCUGCUAUUUAAGCUGUAAGCAAUGUUAAAACGUUAGCAAUGUGCUAAUUCAUGCUAGCAAUAUGUUAACUUAAAUCAUGCUAAGGAUGUGUUAAAUCAUACUAGUAUUGUGUUAAUACAUGCUAACAACGUGUUAGAUCAUGCUGGCAACGUGUGAACAUGUUAGCAACAUAGUAAAGCAUAAUAAAGCAUGUUAGUGACACAUUUAAUCAUGCUAUCAACAGCUAAAACAUGUUAGCAAAGGGUUAAAUCAUGUUAGCAACAUAUUAAAACAUGCAUACGUUAAAUCAUGAUAGCAAAAUGUUAAAACACUAGCAAAGUGUUAAAACAAGUUAGCAAAACAUGCUAAUUCAUGCUAACAAUGUGUUAAAUCAUGCUGUUAACACGUUAACACCAGACUAAAGCCGACUAAAACAUGUUAGAGACAUGUUAAAUCAUGAUAUCAAAAUGUUAGAACACUAGCAAAGUGUUAAAACACAUUGACAACAUGCUAAUUAAUGCCAACUAUGUGCUAAAUCAUGACGGUCCAGUUUUUCUCAUUCGCUUUGGUGCAUUUCUCAAAUCAGAAAUUAAAUUCUCAAAACUACUUGUUCAACCUCAACAUCAUCUAGUCAAUUGUGCACAUCAUAAAAGCAGGGCUUUUUUGGUACUUUUAAUUUAGUAUUUUUACCUUUGUGCCCUUAUGUCUUUUCUAUAUCACAAUGACAUUGUAAUGUUUAUUAGUUAGUAAUACUACAGUUUAUCUCAAUUGCUUUGGCUCAGUUCUUGAAUUAAUUACCCCCCGAAACAAUAAGUUCAGAUUUCUGAACAAUUAGCUUCUUGUUUACAUCAGAUUGGAAUUUCUCAUUGAUUUGAGCAAACUGCAAAAGCUUCGGCACAUGUGUGCAAACAGUACAAUUGUCUGCAGUUUGCACAACAACUGAUUGCACAUGACUUGUUGAUCAAAACUGAUGAGUCGAUUCUCACUUAAACUCUCAAACUCUUUACAACUUCUCAAUCAUUUUUCAUCAUGUAAGCCAUAACAUUCAAAACGAUCCAUUCAAGUAUGAAAAAUUGGUAUACACGCAUGUAUAUUCCAUAAAUAUCUGACACUGACAUUGUUUGUAAUGUCUGCUUAAUUGGCAAAUUACCUCUAAUUACAAUACAGUUUGAAUCAACCAUUUAACCAAUCAAGUUUGGGAGCAUAUAUAUGUAGACUGCCCACAGUGCAAUUACUAAUUUUUUUUUUUUUUUUGAGAAUGGAGGACUUCCACAACCCUGAACUGCAGCAACAUGCUUGUGGAAGAACAAUUGGAAGACGUUUAAGAAUACGUGGUGGUGGUGUUAGAGGAAGACAUAAUAGAGGAAGUGGUUGAAAAAAAAGAAGAGUCAGAGUCUCUGAUGAAAUUAGAGCCACACUUGUGGAUCAUGUCAUAAAUCGUGGUUUCACAGUGGAAGAGGCAAUUGUGCAAACCUUUCAUAGGGAAAACAGAACCACACAACAACCUUGCGCUGGUGGCAGAGCAGCAGUAUUUAACCAUAAGCGAGAACAAGAAAUUUACAACAUGGUCAUAGCCAACAAUUCCAUCAGGCUAAGAGAGCUCCAAAGUGCGAUGACAAUAAUGUCUUCGCAAAUAUAAAUUCUGUCAGCAUUUCCACCAUAGACAGAGUUUUGGAGUUUUGAAAAGACAUCAAAUGACUAUGAACCAACUCUACAAGGUGUUAUUUGAGAGGAAUAGUGAAAGAGUGAAGGUACAUGAUCACAAGAUCAGAUGUCUCUGUUGGACGCCAUGAAUGCUGCAUGUGAGGACAUCACAGCUGAUCAUUGCAGGGGAUGGGUGCGGCAUUCAAGGAGAUUUUUUCCCGGUGCAUGGCAAUGGAAAACAUCAGAUGUGAUGCUGAUGAAAAUCUUUGGCCUGACCAACAAGACCAACAGGAUGUCCACCUAGA
ensembl:lncRNA